CGGACAGAUGGGAGCUUGCUCCCUGAUGUUAGCGGCGGACGGGUGAGUAACACGUGGGUAACCUGCCUGUAAGACUGGGAUAACUCCGGGAAACCGGGGCUAAUACCGGAUGCUUGUUUGAACCGCAUGGUUCAAACAUAAAAGGUGGCUUCGGCUACCACUUACAGAUGGACCCGCGGCGCAUUAGCUAGUUGGUGAGGUAAUGGCUCACCAAGGCAACGAUGCGUAGCCGACCUGAGAGGGUGAUCGGCCACACUGGGACUGAGACACGGCCCAGACUCCUACGGGAGGCAGCAGUAGGGAAUCUUCCGCAAUGGACGAAAGUCUGACGGAGCAACGCCGCGUGAGUGAUGAAGGUUUUCGGAUCGUAAAGCUCUGUUGUUAGGGAAGAACAAGUACCGUUCGAAUAGGGCGGUACCUUGACGGUACCUAACCAGAAAGCCACGGCUAACUACGUGCCAGCAGCCGCGGUAAUACGUAGGUGGCAAGCGUUGUCCGGAAUUAUUGGGCGUAAAGGGCUCGCAGGCGGUUUCUUAAGUCUGAUGUGAAAGCCCCCGGCUCAACCGGGGAGGGUCAUUGGAAACUGGGGAACUUGAGUGCAGAAGAGGAGAGUGGAAUUCCACGUGUAGCGGUGAAAUGCGUAGAGAUGUGGAGGAACACCAGUGGCGAAGGCGACUCUCU
rnacentral:rRNA from 1 species